rnacentral:rRNA from 1 species
AUUGAACGCUGGCGGCAUGCUUUACACAUGCAAGUCGAACGGUAACAGGGAGCUUGCUCCGCUGACGAGUGGCGAACGGGUGAGUAAUGCGUCGGAACGUGCCGAGUAGUGGGGGAUAACGCAUCGAAAGGUGUGCUAAUACCGCAUACGUACUGAGGUAGAAAGUGGGGGACCUUCGGGCCUCACGCUAUUCGAGCGGCCGACGUCUGAUUAGCUAGUUGGUGAGGUAAAGGCUCACCAAGGCGACGAUCAGUAGCGGGUCUGGGAGGAUGGUCCGCCACACUGGGACGGAGACACGGCCCAGACUCCUACGGGAGGCAGCAGUGGGGAAUUUUGGACAAUGGGCGCAAGCCUGAUCCAGCCAUGCCGCGUGUCUGAAGAAGGCCUUCGGGUUGUAAAGGACUUUUGUCCGGGAGCAAAUGCCUGGUGUUAAUAGCACUGGGAGCUGAGAGUACCGGAAGAAUAAGCACCGGCUAACUACGUGCCAGCCACCGCCGUAAUAC